GAAGAGGGACACAGAGAGACUGACAGAAGAGAGUGAGCACACGCAGGCAAUUGUAUGAAAAGCCAUGCCUUUGCGGGUGCGUGCUCACUUCUCUUCUGUCAGCUUCGGCUUUUGCAUUGUG
rnacentral:pre_miRNA from 1 species